rnacentral:rRNA from 1 species
GCAAGUCGAGGGGUAACAUUAGUGCUUGCACUAGAUGACGACCGGCGCACGGGUGCGUAACGCGUAUAGAACCUACCUUUUACAGAGGGAUAGCCUUUAGAAAUGAAGAUUAAUACCUCAUGGUAUUACAGAUCGGCAUCGAUCAGUAAUUAAAGAUUUAUCGGUAAAAGAUGAGUAUGCGUCCUAUUAGCUAGAUGGUAAGGUAACGGCUUACCAUGGCGACGAUAGGUAGGGGUCCUGAGAGGGAGAUC